AAGUCGUAACAAGGUUUCCGUAGGUGAACCUGCGGAAGGAUCAUUCAAGUAAAUGAAUCCCCCACACUUGCCAAAUUGUAACUAGGAGUUGGGGAUAAAUUUAGCCAAGCAGAUAAUGCAAGGCUUGAUUUAUGCCCAAUAUCUAACCAAAACAUUCUAUUGUAAAGAUUUGGUCCGGUUUAAAUAUUAUAAAAUUUAAUACAACCUUUAACAAUGGAUCUCUUGGUUCCU
rnacentral:misc_RNA from 1 species